CAUUAGAUGACUGAAAAUAAGUACUGGAAUUUUAAACCAUUUUAUAAUAUAUUAAUAUAUAUUUCUAAUGA
rnacentral:tRNA from 1 species